AAUGUAGAUUGCAGAGCAGAUCAGAGCAGUGAGUGAAGCACAAGUUUUUCUGAAGGCCGGACAUGAAGCUCAUCACAGCAAAAACCAAGAAACAGAGAGAACGAAGAGAGAGAAAGAUGACCUUAUGAGAUGUUGAAAGAAGUGAAAGAUAGUUACAACUCAGACUUCCAAAAGAGUGGUGAGCAGUAGAGGAGCAACCAGGAACCAGCCUGACUCUACUACAACUGUUAGAAAAGGAUCUGAAUUUCUCUCUCAUUGUCUAUAUAUAAUCCUGAAUGUACUUGUCACCAGCUUAUUUUGUACAUAAUUUUAUUUUGCUUAAAUAAUGCCUCAUCCUUUUUUGUGGAGCACAUUGCCAGUUUGCGUUUGAUUCUCUAACUUAUAUUGGAUGAAAAUAAAUGGAAUUGCUGUGA